rnacentral:rRNA from 1 species
GAUGAACGCUGGCGGCGUGCCUAAUACACGCAAGUCGAGCGAAUGGAUUAAGAGCUUGCUCUUAUGAAGUUAGCGGCGGACGGGUGAGUAACACGUGGGUAACCUGCCCAUAAGACUGGGAUAACUCCGGGAAACCGGGGCUAAUACCGGAUAACAUUUUGAACCGCAUGGUUCGAAAUUGAAAGGCGGCUUCGGCUGUUACUUAUGGAUGGACCCGCGUCGCAUUAGCUAGUUGGUGAGGUAACGGCUCACCAAGGCAACGAUGCGUAGCCGACCUGAGAGGGUGAUCGGCCACACUGGGACUGAGACACGGCCCAGACUCCUACGGGAGGCAGCAGUAGGGAAUCUUCCGCAAUGGACGAAAGUCUGACGGAGCAACGCUGCGUGAGUGAUGAAGGCUUUCGGGUCGUAAAACUCUGUUGUUAGGGAAGAACAAGUGCUAGUUGAAUAAGCUGGCACCUUGACGGUACCUAACCAGAAAGCCACGGCUAACUACGUGCCAGCCGCCGCCGUAA